rnacentral:rRNA from 1 species
UAAUACGUAGGGUCCGAGCGUUGUCCGGAAUUAUUGGGCGUAAAGAGCUCGUAGGCGGCGUGUCGCGUCUGCUGUGAAAGACCGGGGCUUAACUCCGGUUCUGCAGUGGAUACGGGCAUGCUAGAGGUAGGUAGGGGAGACUGGAAUUCCUGGUGUAGCGGUGAAAUGCGCAGAUAUCAGGAGGAACACCGGUGGCGAAGGCGGGUCUCUGGGCCUUACCUGACGCUGAGGAGCGAAAGCAUGGGGAGCGAACAGGAUUAGAUACCCUGGUAGUCCAUGCCGUAAACGUUGGGCGCUAGGUGUGGGGACUUUCCACGGUUUCCGCGCCGUAGCUAACGCAUUAAGCGCCCCGCCUGGGGAGUACGGCCGCAAGGCUAAA